rnacentral:tRNA from 1 species
GGUGGCGCAGGUCAACCUGGCGCACAUGCUUUGAUCAGCAAAAACGCCACCGGACAGCAUGGCGAGGCACUGGGUAACACGAGUGCUCGCGGUCUCGUAAUGCGUAGGUCUCGGGUUCGAAUCCCGAAGGCGGCUCCA